GAAAACCUGUAACAAAAAAAGUACACAAAAUAAACAAGUGCUGGGGUUAGCGGACCUGCUAAAAGAAAUAUACCAGAACCUAAACCAAAGAAACCACCGAGUGAAAACCAAAAGACUGUACAGAGACUCGGUGAAGCUAAAACCAAACAAAAGAGCAGCAGAUCCAUAAACUAAAGUGAUGGAAGUCACAACCAAAACCAAACACUAAUCUAGCCCAACACCAAAUCAAAAAUAAACACUGUGGCAGAAACACAAACUAAAGUGUAGCAGAGCCUGAACUGAACUGAGUGUGUAAACUAAGGUGAAUCCAAACUAAAAACAGAACCAUCCGAAGUCCCCACAUGGGACGCACCACAGCCAAGAAUCCUCCUGCUGUGUCCAAAUAAUGGUCUGCCCCACAAAAGAUUCACUGACACGAAGCACAGCGAGCACUCAGUAGGCCUUGCUACCACCAAAAUCCGCCAUAACUCGGAACGAGGCCACCUGUAGAGAUGUUAUGAUCGU